CCCGCCCGGGUACUACGAGCAAAGCUUAAAACCCAAAGGACUUGGCGGUGCCCUAUUCCACCUAGAGGAGCCUGUUCUUUAAUCGAUAAUCCACGAUUCACCUCACCAUUUCUUGGCUAAACCGCCUAUAUACCGCCGUCGUCAAUUUUCCCUUUGAAGGAAUCAUAGAAAGUGAGAAGGUAUCCACCAAAACGUCAGGUCAAGGUGUAGCGAAUGAAAUGGGAAGAAACGGGCUACAUUUUCUAUUAUAGAACAAACGGAUUAUCAAUAUGAAAUCUGAAUAUGAAGGAGGAUUUAGUAGUAAAAAGAAAUCAGCAAAUUCUUUUUAACAUGGCCCUGGGACGCGUACACACCGCCCGUCACCCUCUUCGACUCAAACAACCUUUAUUUUAUGACUACAUUUUUUGAACCAAGAAGAGGUAAGUCGUAACAUGGUAAGUAUACCGGAAGGUGUACUUG
rnacentral:rRNA from 1 species